AUGAAACUCUGAACUGUGAAGGAACAGAGUUCAAACGCCAAACACAAGCAGAAGCAUUGGGUUUUUUCAACAUUUUCUGGCAGCAGAGCUCCACUCAAUGGUUUGGUAUAUUCCCCACCUUCUUUCUUCAUGUCUCUUUCUAUGGAUAUUGAAGAGAAGCUGAGGUAUUGUCAGAAAGCCAACAGUUGAUCUUCCCUUUUGACAUGCCAUAUCAUCUUCUGAGACAACACAGCAUGUCUUGAAGUAUAAAAAGCAUAAUACUGCUUUAUUGGGGUUGAGUUGGAGCAGCAACGUGCAAGAUGUUGUCAAUGCCUGGUAACCCCUCAGCCGUGUCUGUUCCUGUGCCUUCACACGUGGGUGUAGAGCAAGAACUCUCCUGCAUGAGCUGUUUUAAAUCUUUGGAGGACUGCCUAGCAGAAAGGAUGUCCAGUUCUGGG
rnacentral:lncRNA from 1 species